UUCAACUGUUGUCCCAAGAAGAUUUAUCAAACGCAUGUUAAUAAAAGCUUCGUUUUCAGGGAGGACAGUCCAGCUUCUAGGCUAGCUAAAUUACGACAAGCACAGAGAAUUAUUUUUGGUGCGCUAAUUUCGGCGCUAAUUAGCUGCAUAAGAAAAUACAUUUUAGUGGUGGACAGUUAUAAACACCACUGUCACUUGAAGAGGAGAGGGGCCAAAUUCAUCCAUAAAGAAGGGACAUUUAUGCUGCUGUGAAGUGGAAAAGGAUCUUCAGUGCAGAGAUGAGAAUGCAGGCUGCAGGGGUCGAGUCCCCUGGCCCCGGGGACUUGCCUCCUCCUCCACCUCUAUUCCAGACCGAGGGGCCCGUGCAGGGGCUGCGAGAUGCUGAUCGGAAUCCUGCAUUGUCUGUGAGGCCCUCACAUGUCUAAGCUAAAAGUCAAAUAGUGUUGUGACAUGUUGUGGGAAGUGUAAGUGACAAACACUCACAUACAAAUGUAUUCUGGCAAGGUGUGCACAAACUCAUGGUGCACCAGUGUGUCUGUGGGGCACAUUUGCAUGAGACACAUGAGCAGAGAGGCAUUCACAUAAACACACACACUACAAACCAGUCUCUUACUGCAAUCCUAAUUCUGCCCCUCAGCUCAGACUGAGCUGUCUGCAUUAAAAGACAAGACUUCUAAGAGAUGAUUUCCGGAGAAUAUGCUCAGAUCUAUGAUCUUAGGUCCAUGCAACUGUUUUUGUUUUUGGUUUGCAACCUCUACUUCUUGUUUAUUACAGCAAUGCUUAACAUCAACGUCUGACGUAACUACGCUUUGCAUAGAGUGGUGUAUUUGCUCCAAACCAGUUAAUGGAAAAUGCCUAAAUCACAUUAUCUUUUUUUUUUAUUAUUUCCUUUUUACA